UCCUUGGCGCUCAAGACCUUGAUUCCUUGACUGAUUCAGUAGAUUAUACUGCUUGCUGCUGGGUUUGUUCAAUUUGUUUCUCGAUUUGUUUGUGACAUUCGAACUUGAGAUUCGAUAAACCAUCGUCGUCUGUGGCCGAUCCAUUCGAUCUUUGUUUAAGUCGCCGUAUUGUUCGCGUUGGUGUUAAACGAGUUUCUUUCGUCUUUUCUAUUACGAUUUUAGGGCCAUCUUUGGAAAAUCUGUUCCCCCAUGAUUAUUAGGUUCGCUUUGAUCUUUGUUAUGUGGUAUUAUCCGUACACCACAUUAAUAGCUUUCUGGGUAUUCUUGACAAGAGACAGAUUGUUUGCACAUCCAUCGUCAAGUACACUUAGUUUAUUGAUGGAUUGAACUUAUGGAUUAUUGCAUUUAAUGCAUGUACCCGUUUUCAAUUUUUAGAAGGCUAGUUAGUAAAUCUCUACCUCUACCCUAAAACUGGCCAGAGCUGAAGUCAUAUGUAUGUGGCACAUUCAGGGAAUCCAAAAUAUCACAUCUUCUGAUGAAAUGAAAUUAUGAAAAUGUCUAUGGCUAUAUCUAAUCUACAUUGUGAAAUAAAGAAAAUUUAAUGAGCUUAUAGGGUGACAUUAGAAUGUGUUGUGUUUAUUGUCUCCUGGUUGUUCUAGUGUCGGGUUAGUUUGAGUAGCUCACCAACGAUGCUCAUUUCUUUUCUUAAGAGUAUCCCAACAUUUUAUUUGUUUAAGUUUAUUACAGUAGGGGCUUACCCUUAGCAAUUUCCUCAGCCUUUUAAAAGCCAUAAGCCACAAGAAAAUAUCCCUCCAUGGAGAAUUCCAGUGAAAACAAAAUAAAAAAGAUGGCUUUUGUAAAUAAACAUCGUCAUCCAGGAUAGGUGUCUAUCGUACAAUUUGUAACUUCUAUUAUCUCGUUCCAUGCACUGGUCAAAUGUAUAACCACUUACUAUCUUUAGUGAUUGCCUCUGCUUCCAAAGUUCAAUCAAGUAGAUUAUGUGAUUGGAAACUUUGAAUACAACUAAACAAAAAUCUUAUAUAUGUGGUAGAAUAUUUUCUAUUUUUAAAUGCUUGCAAAUUAUCCUAUGGCAUAGUAUUUUACUGUCACUACUUUUAUGAUUUUUAGAUUUCAUUACAGUUUUAUCGCAUGUCAGUAUUAUCUGGUAGUAUCAGUUUAAAAAAUAGAUAUUUCUCUCUGUGUGGGUGAAUAAUAUAUGCUGGCAAUCGUUGCACUGGAAACAACUGAUAUAGCUUGAUAGUAAUGGUUUUAGCCAUUAAAAAUUGCCCAGGCAAUAUUCUGCAGUUCAGAUGUGUCUUUUACGGUAUCACUAAUGCUGAGUUUGUAUUAUGACUCUAAUUUGUGCAAUAUAAUCAUUAGAUGUAUUAAAGAUUAUUCUCUGGCGAACUGGUCAGUGCAUUGUAUCUGCAAAUUGUUUUUUGCCUUUAGAAUGGUUUGUGAUUCUUUGGCUACCUGGAAGAUAAACUGGAUUUGUAGCACUGGUCGAGGAGGGGGUGAUAAAGAUAACCGAUAACCUUAAUCAUAUAUAUCAGUUUCAUAAAUGUCCGAGCAAAGCAUUUGCUUUCCAUCACUGAAAAAAAGCAUGUUUCCUAGUAAUAUUUGCAAGCAAAUAUGCUGGUGUAGUUGAUUUCGUUGUAAAAAAAAUGGAAAUAUACACUUCAAAACAACUUAAUUAGUUAAAAAAAAAUCAGUGCCUAUGUUCUCAAUUUUCCACCAUGAAGUUUUUUCUCUUUCAGAUUUUGCAUCAGGAUCUUGGGGUCCGUUUAUGGAACGAUCUUUUGAUGCACCUUUUGGUAGCCUCUCAAAUGCCUUUGAGGGAGCCGCAGCCUCAGAGUACACUGAAGAGAUUGUUUCCUGAGAUCUUAAUUCAGUCUGAAUGAGUUUGACUAUGGAUAGUUUUGUUUGGCUAUACCACUUUGUGAUAAAUUAAAUUAAUGCCUUCUAAACCAACUGCACCAUCAUAAAUCACAGCAUGCUUUACUUUGUCUCACAGAAAUAUGAUUUAAUGUAUGUUUCGUGUUUUUUCUGUUACUGUUGCCACCUUGGGCAUGACCUGGCCCCACAUGUGAGGAAGAGAAACAAGGUAUGGAUGGGCACACAAAGUGCCAAACAACCACCACAAGGGUGAGAAGUGCAUAAGUUGCAAACAACGAGCACACAGCCCUGAUAUGAGGAAUUGAACCUUCAAUCUUUUUAGAAUCCAUCGGGAAUCAUUACCACCCCUGUAACGAGACAGUAAGGAGCAAGUGCUUUGCUAGGUGCAUCGCAAAGCCCGGAACAAGCUUGAGUGGAAGUGAGAGUAGUUGCAUCUCACGUUGCGUGGAUCGUUACAUCGAGGCAACUGGUAUCAUUGGUCGAGCUCUUUUCAGUUCACCUCACUAGUUUUAAACUUUUCUAAGUUCAGCAGGGAGCCCAGUGGUUUUGAGCCCCUUGCAUGAAUAUGCAUUCAUUCUUUUCAUGCGA